UACGGAGGAUCCAAGCGUUAUCCGGAUUUAUUGGGUUUAAAGGGUGCGCAGGCGGGAGAUUAAGUCGGUGGUGAAAUUUUGCAGCUCAACUGUAAAAGUGCCAUUGAUACUGGUUUUCUUGAGUGUAGAUGAAGUAGGCGGAAUUUGUGGUGUAGCGGUGAAAUGCACAGAUAUCACGAGGAACGCCGAUUGCGCAGGCAGCUUACUAAACUAUAACUGACGCGCAGGCGCGAAGGCGUGGGGAUCAAACAGG
rnacentral:rRNA from 1 species